UUAACUCAAAUUUGUAUGGAGCUGGAACGUUUGCCUACGUUUGCCAAUAGGGGUGCUGCUCUAACUGCAUACAAAUUUGAGUUA
rfam:Bombyx mori DNA, contig: Bm_scaf56_contig27973, strain: p50T/Dazao, build 2, whole genome shotgun sequence.